UGACCUACAGAAACACUGCCUGGGAUGCUGACUGAAUGGGCAUCUGCAGAGACCAAGGCCAACAUCGGUGACAGGAGGGGGCUCUGACCAGUGUGGCGCAAGGGGUGCUGACCUGAGUCAUUAUGCAGGCGCAGUGGGAGGCUCUGGGUUCCCUUUCCAGGGAGAAGGCAGCCUGCACCUUGGUGUCAGCCUCUGACCCAGCCCUGUGUGUGGUCUGCUGC
rnacentral:lncRNA from 1 species